CUGCGGGAGAGACUGGCUUUGCCAGCGCCGAAGGAGCAACCGCCCCGGAAACUCUCAGGCCAAAGGACCGCAG
rnacentral:ncRNA from 1 species